rnacentral:rRNA from 1 species
UAUACCGUGAAACUGCGAAUGGCUCAUUAAAUCAGUUAUCGUUUAUUUGAUAGUACCUUACUACUUGGAUAACCGUGGUAAUUCUAGAGCUAAUACAUGCUAAAAACCUCGACUUCGGAAGGGGUGUAUUUAUUAGAUAAAAAACCAAUGCCCUUCGGGGCUCCUUGGUGAUUCAUAAUAACUUAACGAAUCGCAUGGCCUUGUGCCGGCGAUGGUUCAUUCAAAUUUCUGCCCUAUCAACUUUCGAUUGUAAUGUAGUGGAUUACAAUGGUUUCAACGGGUAACGGGGAAUUAGGGUUCUAUUCCGGAGAGGGAGCCUGAGAAACGGCUACCACAUCCAAGGAAGGCAGCAGGCGCGCAAAUUACCCAAUCCCGACACGGGGAGGUAGUGACAAUAAAUACUGAUACAGGGCUCUUUUGGGUCUUGUAAUUGGAAUGAGUACAAUUUAAAUCCCUUAACGAGGAACAAUUGGAGGGCAAGUCUGGUGCCAGCAGCCGCGGUAAUUCCAGCUCCAAUAGCGUAUAUUAAAGUUGUUGCAGUUAAAAAGCUCGUAGUUGAACCUUGGGCCUGGUUGGUCGGUCCGCCUCACCGCGUGCACUGAUCCGACCGGGUCUUUCCUUCUGGGGAGCCGCAUGCACUUCAUUGUGUGUGUCGGGGAACCAGGACUUUUACUUUGAAAAAAUUAGAGUGUUCAAAGCAGGCCUAUGCUCGAAUACAUUAGCAUGGAAUAAUAGAAUAGGACGUGUGGUUCUAUUUUGUUGGUUUCUAGGACCGCCGUAAUGAUUAAUAGGGAUAGUCGGGGGCAUCAGUAUUCAAUUGUCAGAGGUGAAAUUCUUGGAUUUAUUGAAGACUAACUACUGCGAAAGCAUUUGCCAAGGAUGUUUUCAUUAAUCAGUGAACGAAAGUUAGGGGAUCGAAGACGAUCAGAUACCGUCGUAGUCUUAACCAUAAACUAUGCCGACUAGGGAUCGGGCGAUGUUAUCUUUUUGACUCGCUCGGCACCUUACGAGAAAUCAAAGUCUUGGGUCUGGGGG